rnacentral:rRNA from 1 species
UACAGAGGUGGCAAGCGUUGUUCGGAAUUACUGGGCGUAAAGGGCGCGUAGGCGGCCUACUAAGUCAGACGUGAAAUCCCCCGGCUUAACCUGGGAACUGCGUCUGAUACUGGAAGGCUUGAGUAUGGGAGAGGGAUGUAGAAUUCCAGGUGUAGCGGUGAAACGCGUAGAUAUCUGGAGGAAUACCGGUGGCGAAGGCGGCAUCCUGGACCAUUACUGACGCUGAGGCGCGGAAAGCUAGGGGAGCAAACGGG